AUCAUACAAAAGAAAACACCAUCCGGACCACCACCAGCCCUUUCUUUUCAGAAGACACAUUUAGACAAUCACCAUUCACCUCCAAUUCAAAAGAACUGCUGCCCAGUGACUCUGUGCUGCACGGAAGAAUAUCAGCUCCAGGCCUGUUGGAGAAGGAAGCCAGCAGUGAGGGGGAUUGCAAAGUAGAGAGAGGUUGGUAGAACUGUGGACUGUGAAGAGAUCGAGAAUAGCACAGUUAACUAGGCAUUUGCCUUCGGCAGAUGGCAUCUGAAACUCACAGCUGCCACCGUCCCAGAGAAACAGAAUAAACACAGAGCUUCACGGUGUCCUGGCUGCGGUUGUUGCCAGUAUUUCUAGACUGACUUUCCUGAGAACUAAAGAAUGCUCAUGUUAGCCAAGA
rnacentral:sRNA from 1 species